GAGGCCUUAGCUUAAUUAAAGUGUUUGAGUUGCAUUCAGAAGAUGUAUAAAAGAAUAUACAGGUCUUA
rnacentral:tRNA from 1 species